rnacentral:rRNA from 1 species
UACGUAGGGGGCAAGCGUUGUCCGGAUUUAUUGGGCGUAAAGAGCGUGUAGGCGGCCUGGUAGGUCAGCUGUGAAAACUCGAGGCUCAACCUCGAGACGCCGGCGGAAACCAUCUGGCUAGAGUCCGGAAGAGGAGAGUGGAAUUCCUGGUGUAGCGGUGAAAUGCGCAGAUAUCAGGAGGAACACCGGUGGCGAAGGCGGGUCUCUGGGCCGAUACUGACGCUGAGGAGCGAAAGCGUGGGGAGCGAACAGG